CUGCAUACCAGUAGACCCUUUUUAGCUGAAUUUGUAGCCAAGAAGGGGGGACAGUGUAUGCAAAAUUAAUGUGAUUUUGCUGUGUGAUGUCAGACACCUUCAGGCCUGAUCAUCCUGUGGCAGACUUACAGCU